UGCCAGCAGCCGCGGUAAUACGGAGGGGGCAAGCGUUGCUCGGAAUUACUGGGCGUAAAGCGAGCGUAGGCGGUUAAUCAAGUUGGUGGUGAAAGCCCAGAGCUUAACUCUGGAACUGCCAUCAAAACUGGUUGACUUGAGAUUGGUAGAGGAAAAUGGAAUUCCUAGUGUAGAGGUGAAAUUCGUAGAUAUUGGGAAGAACACCAGUGGCGAAGGCGAUUUUCUGGGCCAAUUCUGACGCUGAGGUUCGAAAGCGUGGGUAGCAAACAGGAUUAGAUA
rnacentral:rRNA from 1 species